GAAAUACCACAACAUUACGUCAGGUGCGUCAGGUAGGCCUAUUAUAAGCAACCAGGAAGACUUUACGGUUUUUCAGAAAGCAGGUGACAUUAGCAGCAAUGGAAUCAACUCAGACUCUUUUAAUCAUUGUUUUGGCGAUUGGAGCCUGCCAGAGUCAUUCUCUCCAUUUCAAGUCUUUACUUCGUGAUGUGGAACCAGAAAUCAAAGAGAAAGUGGCGUCAGAUCUCGAGCAUCUCAAAUUGAAACUUCCUGAUAUCGCGUCGGAUCUGCACAUUCAUGCUAAGGCGGAAGAUCUGAGUAACCUCAAGUCUACCCUCAAAGAGGUUGAAAAGAAAUUGCCGACAGAUCUUCAACAUCUUGCCUGGAUUCUUCAGGAUAGUACAUCUGAUCUCCAUGUCAACCUAAAGGAUGUAGACGUGAAGCUGAGGCCCAUCCUCAAAGGUCUGGGGAAAGAACUAUUUAAAGGUUCGAAGUUCAAGAGGAGCAGUGGAACCUGUGACUGUGCUGAAUACAAAUGUUCCUGCUGCGUACACCUGGAAAUAGAUGAGAUCAAGCUGGAUAGCACAGUUUGUGUAGCUGUUGCUUAUCUCCCAAAAGACAUUGGUGUAGAGUUCAAACUGACAGUUGAUGGGAAGACAUUAAUUGACAUGCAAAUAUCCGUAACAAACCCUCCUCCUGUCUGCAUUGGAAUCCCUGAACUAGAGAAAGAGGCCAGCAUCUGCAUCAUGUUCAGCAACCUGAAGGUUGACACGGCCAACAAAAAGUUUUCUGGCUGUGUGUCGCUUGAAGCAAGACUGAUAUCUAUCAAGGUUGUAGAAGUACCUCUUGGCUGCUUCAAUAUGCCUAUCAAGGGAGCUGAAACUGGUAACCAGACGGUUGACAAUAUCAGCAACAGGACACAGAUGAGCAAACAAGAAAAAAUGGAGAUGCUGUCUCGACUUGGUCUCAUGGGGAAAACCUUCAACAAUGGACGUCUUGUCAAUCAGAAAAUGCUGAAAAAUUGAAAUGACUCAUUCAACGUUUUAUUUUUGGUUUCACAAAUAUUUUUUUUUUAGAGUUCCUAAGUAAUGUUUUACUUUUUAACGAUUAUGGAGGGAGAAGUACAAAAUUGAACAAAGAUGUGAUUCAUAUUAUAACGGAGGCACAAAAAUGAUAUUAAAUAUGGUGAUUAACUCAUUCACCCCUGAAAUUUCAUAAUGAACUCUACCAACCUUUGAAUUGGAGGAGUUCAAAUGUGUCUUCGGGGGUGAAUGAGUUAACGUACAUGCAUGAGAAUAUUUUUGGAGUAUGUAUAACUAGACUUGGAUAGAUCGCAAUGGUACUUAUUUCAAUCAUUCUACAACAAAAAUGCAACUGACUUUAUUUUUUUGUUUUCCAGAAUGGUUUUUGUAUUUUAUUUCAAUAAUUAUAUGUUAAAUGUCACUCUCACCCACACAAAAUAUACCAACUUAAGGAGUAGAACAUCGUAACAAAGAAGAUUAUGUUUAGGGGUUGAGCUUUCUAUGUCUGUAUAUAUUAAGGUGAUUUUUUUGUGUUUCUGUCUUCAUUUAUCUAGCUUAUACAUGUACUUGACAAACAUCCUGAAAAAAGUCAUUCAGUGAUAUUAUUUUUUAAAAAUUUACAUCUUUGAUUUUGAAAAAAAAAAAAAAUGUUGGAAACUCCGAAAGUCAUUUUUAAAAGUAAGAUAAAAACAAUUCCCCGAUCGGAAGUGAAAAGGUAUGGAGUCACCUGCCUAACCACGUGGUUUUCUUCGGGUGCUCUGGUUUCCUCCCACAUUAAGACCCCCCCACACGCUAACAUCUGGGCCAACAAGAGUGAUUAAUAUAAGUAAAAACUUGUUUCAUAAUUGUUGUAAAAAGUUUAUAUAUAUAUGUAAAUAAGGAUAAAAAUCUGAUUCUCAGCAAAUAUCCUGUUUUGAAAUUGACAGAGAUGACUCAUUUCAAAUGAAUCCCAAGCAACAUUUGUGCAGUUGAAACUAACAACAGUUAGCUAGAUAAUGUAUUUAGUUGUAUAUAUUUUGAUAUUUGAAGAUAAUGUAAAUGGAUGUAUAUAUUUUUAUAUUUGAAGUUACAUAUUUGCAUAGCAGCUCUGCAUAUAAGUCAUUAGACAUUAUUGUGUUUGUUAUUGAUUUUUCUAUAAAUCCUUUUGAUAAAACAUUUAUUUGUGUGAUGAUAAAUUUUCUACAUUUUCUCACAAUUUCACUAAGGAAAGAGGGAUUGAAUUAGAAUGCUAAAAAUCAAUUCAUUCCAAUAAGUAAGGUAGUGUGAGUGAAAGUUGUGUCCUUUUAAUGUGUAUUGUUUAUUUUUUUAAACAAAUAUGGUAAAAUUUGUAUUACCAGACAUUAUAUUUUUCUAUCCUGUUACAAUGCAAGUGCUUUUAAAUCAAUAAAAUUCAAAUAUCUAUAAUAUAAUAUGUGUAUAAUAUUGUAUAACGUUCUUUUUUCAAAAUGGACUAAUAUUUACAUACCAUAUACAAUUGUUGUUGUUAAUUAAUAUGACCAAUAAGUUUUUAUUGACAAAUGUUAACUCAUUUACCCCUGAAGACACAUUAGAACUCUUCCAAUCCAAAGGUAAGAACAGUUCAUUAUGAAAUUUCAGGGUGGAUGAGUUAAUGAGUUUGUUGAAUCAUGUUGAAAAUGUGUUGAUAUGCAUGCCUUACACUAAACUCAAUUCUCCUUGCUGCAUAAGGCUAUACAUUCCAUUAUAAACACCCGCUUUUUGCAUCUUUUUCUGGUUAAUAUUAUUAUUGUCGCUUAAGAAAACCUUAUGAUUAGUACCUGGCAGUAUGUAUGAUAUGCACAGAGAGAGCCUUAUUCUUAAAAAAGAAAAAAAAGAAAUCUAUUAAAUCUUACACUAUUUGUGAUUUGUACAGGGAAGAUUAAUUGUACCUGUGAUUUGAACAGGGAAGUUUAUCAUUGUUACCUGUGAUUUGUACAGGUAAGUUUAUCAUUAUGAAGGAGGUACAGAAAUCAUUGUUACCUGUGGUUUGUACAGGGAAGUUUAUCGUUAUAAGAAGGAGGUACAGAAAUCAUUGUUACCUAUGGUUUGUACAGGGAAGUUUAUCAUUAUAAGAAGGAGGUACAGAAAUCAUUGUUACCUGUGGUUUGUACAGGGAAGUUUAUCUAUAUAAGAAGGAGGUACAGAAAUCAUUGUUACCUGUGGUUUGAACAGGGAAGAAUAUCAUUAUAAGAAGGAGGUACAGAAAUCAUUGUUACCUGUGGUUUGAACAGGGAAGAUUAUCAUUAUAAGAAGGAGGUACAGAAAUCAUUGUUACCUGUGGUUUGUACAGGGAAGUUUAUCAUUAUAAAGGAGGUUAAGAAGUCUGCUUUUAUCUAUUUUAUUUAUACUUUGUCUCUAAUUUUCUUUAAGUUACAUUUUAUUUUGUAUUACUAAUGCAUUCCCCUUUUUUCCCCUCCAUUUAUCUGCAGAGUCUAUAAUAUACAGUGAUGUCAAAGAUAAUGUUGAUGCGUCAUUAACAUUUUUUAUUUGCAUUGAAAACAAAAAUCUUAAGACAAUUUGAUUAAAAAAAAGGACACACUUGAUUUCUAAGGUAGUAAAUUUGCAUUCAUUUCCACUAAAUUGAAAUAGAAUAUAUUAUUCCUUUUUUUCCACAAUUAAUAAUAUCAAACUAAAACCAAAGAGAGAAAAAAAUUACGUAGAAAACAAAAAAUACAUUCAAAAUUGCUAGUGCAUUUAUGAAAUAUUUGCUUCCUAGCUAUUUUCACAAGAUAUUAUUAUUUAUGGAAAUUGUCAAAGAAGCAAUGAUCAGGUAAAUAAAAAGGCAUUUUUUCCAGUUUUCAAUUUUGAAUAAACAAACAAACAAAUGACGUAACAAUCAAUACCUGCUCACAAGAGCAGAUAACUCUGUAAUAUGAAAAGACGGAAUAUUAUAUCUGCAUUGUGAUUUCCUUAAUGGAUAAACUCUAUAUUCUCAGUAAAAUAUAAUUAAGAGAAGCUGGAUUUGUUUUUUAAAAAAUGAUUAGAAAGAUAAAAGAAUGUUGUCACCAUUUAACAGCCUUUAUUUUUAUAGACAUUAUAAGAUUUAAUAAACUUCUUUUAAUAAAUACAUUUUAUAAACAU
rnacentral:misc_RNA from 1 species